ACUAUGUCCUGGGAUUCAUGCUCCCAACGCCUUGCUUUAAAAACUCUCUGCUCUUGUGGUUAAGUUCUAUGAAGAAUUGGAGAAAACCAUUUCAGAAAAAGGAGUGGCAGUUGGAAAGUCUCUAAGCCAGUAUGAAGCCAGGAGUAACAACACCAAAUCUGAGUUUCAUCUACAGCCACUAUGGGGCCAUUUAUGUCUGUAGAGAACCUGAGGCAAAGACUUCAUGGCCCUGACCUCCUGGAAUGCCACCAUAAUGGAGUAAGGACCACGGAUGUAUAUGGAGGGUUUGGAGUGUGGUUUAAAGAUCAAAUAAGAAAG